AACGAACGCUGGCGGCAUGCCUAUCACAUGCAAGUCGAACGAGAUCUUCGGGUCUAGUGGCGCACGGGUGCGUAACGCAUGGGAAUCCGCCCUUUGGUUCGGAAUAACAAUUGGAAACGACUGCUAAUACCGGAUGAUGACGAAAGUCCAAAGAUUUAUCGCCAGAGGAUGAGCCCGCGUAGGAUUAGCUAGUUGGUGUGGUAAAGGCGCACCAAGGCGACGAUCCUUAGCUGGUCUGAGAGGAUGAUCAGCCACACUGGGACUGAGACACGGCCCAGACUCCUACGGGAGGCAGCAGUGGGGAAUAUUGGACAAUGGGCGAAAGCCUGAUCCAGCAAUGCCGCGUGAGUGAUGAAGGCCUUAGGGUUGUAAAGCUCUUUUACCCGGGAUGAUAAUGACAGUACCGGGGGAAUAAGCUCCGGCUAACUCCGUGCCAGCAGCCGCGGUAA
rnacentral:rRNA from 1 species